UCGUGGAGCGUCCCGGAGCUAACGCGUUAAGUCCUGCACCUGGGGAGUACGGUCGCAAGACUGAAACUCAAAGGAAUGGNNCGNGGGCCCGCACAAGCGGUGGCACAUGUGGUUCNAUUNGACGCUACGCGAGGAACCUUACCUGGGCUCGAAGCGCACUUGACUAGCUAUAGAAAUAUGGCCUUCCCGCAAGGGACAAGUGUGGAGGCGCUGCAUGGCUGUCGUCAGCUCGUGCCCGUGAGGUGUUGGGUUAAGUCCCGCAACGAGCGCAACCCUUGUCCUGUGUUGCAACUAAUAGGCACUCUCAGGAGACCGCCAGCGAUAAGCUGGAGGAAGGUGGGGACGACGUCAAGUCAUCAUGGCCUUUAUGNCCCAGGGCUACACACGUGCUACAAUGGGCGGUACAGACCGCUGCAAACCCGCGAGGGGGAGCAAAUCGGAAAAAACCGUUCUCAGUUCGGAUUGCAGGCUGCAACUCGCCUGCAUGAAGCUGGAAUCGCUAGUAAUGGCAUAUCAGAACGAUGCCGUGAAUACGUUCCCGGGCCUUGUACACACCGCCCGUCACAUCACGAAAGUGGAUUGUACUAGAAGUCUGUGGGCCAACCCGCCAAGGGAGGCAGCGGCCCAAGGUAUGAUUCAUGAUUGGGGUGAAGUCGUAACCAAGGUACC
rnacentral:rRNA from 1 species